AGGGUUCGAUUCUGGCUCAGGACGAACGCUGGCGGCGCGCCUAACACAUGCAAGUCGAACGAGCGAGAGAGAGCUUGCUUUCUCAAGCGAGUGGCGAACGGGUGAGUAACGCGUGAGGAACCUGCCUCAAAGAGGGGGACAACAGUUGGAAACGACUGCUAAUACCGCAUAAGCCCACGGCUCGGCAUCGAGCAGAGGGAAAAGGAGCAAUCCACUUUGAGAUGGCCUCGCGUCCGAUUAGCUAGUUGGUGAGGUAACGGCCCACCAAGGCGACGAUCGGUAGCCGGACUGAGAGGUUGAACGGCCACAUUGGGACUGAGACACGGCCCAG
rnacentral:rRNA from 1 species